GUAAAUGUUAAAUUCCCCUUCUUCGCCCCUACGGGUUAUGUAUCUCAAUCAAUCCGUUCCCGAUGUGCUUUUAUUUUGUAGAGAACGCCGCCGGAAGUGAUUCCGACUCGAACCCCGAUGAUUCGCCGGAAUAUUACGAGCCAAUCUCUUCCACCGCUGAUGACGACGAUGUACACAUCUCCGAUCAGAUUCCAGAUCAUGUUCAGAGCUCGGAUGAUGAAGAGUGCGACGAAUCUAGUAACUUUCAUCGCCUCCCUAAUGGCUAUGUGAAUUGUGUAGAAAACGGGAUAUCAUCACUGGAUCUAAGUGACGAGGAUGGUGAAUAUAAGAGUGAGGUUGAAGAAGAGGAGGAGAGGAUAAGAGCGGCGUCUGAUACUGCUGUACGGAGAGCAUUCAGAGAGGAUGAGAGCCGUCGCAACACUCCAUUGACGACGGAGAAUGCAAGGAGAGUAAUGGAAGCCAUGCGUAGGAUUUCUUUUGGUGGAGUGGCUCCUGAUUGGACCAGCCAAGUUCCGGAGGAUCAGUGGAUCGAUCAUCUACAAAGAUUGAGAAGUCCACCUGCUACUACCUCGACGAACUGAAACCGAUUUGCCUUCGAUUAGUAAUUGCCUGAGCUUUACUGCUUUAAUAUUUUUUGUUGUAGCUCAACUUCUGAUGUGCUAGCUAUUGUUGUUAAUUGUUAAAAACUAAGUUGUGGUUGAACCUUUCCAGCCUUCUAAGGUCAUGAAUAUGCUUUAGGAUUUUUGCUGGAAAUAGAUAUUUCUUAAUCUAUGAUGG
rnacentral:misc_RNA from 1 species